rnacentral:rRNA from 1 species
UGGGGAAUAUUGCACAAUGGGCGCAAGCCUGAUGCAGCAACGCCGCGUGAGGGACGAAGGCCUUCGGGUUGUAAACCUCUUUUAGCAGGGAAGAAGCGAAAGUGACGGUACCUGCAGAAAAAGCACCGGCUAACUACGUGCCAGCAGCCGCGGUAAUACGUAGGGUGCAAGCGUUGUCCGGAAUUAUUGGGCGUAAAGAGCUCGUAGGCGGUUUGUCGCGU